AUGCUGUCCUGUGGCUGUGGCGCCCCAACAACUGUAGCUCCGAUUCAACCCUUAGCCUGGGAACUUCCAUAUGCUGCAAGUACAGCCCUAAAGAGGAAAAAAAAAAGAAGAAGAAGAAGAACCCUCUAUGACUCUCCAGGAUUCCCAGGACAGGGUCCCAGCUCCAUCUCUAGCACAGAAAUUUCUUUCCUGAGGCUGGAAAGAAAUCACAGCUCCCUGAACACCGCCCACCUGUAUACGCCCCCACCUUCCCUCACCUCCUUCUCUGGGCCUUGCUUCCUCUCCUUUGCUUGUAAUGAAGAGCUCAGGAAGGAUCUGAAGCAGGUGAGAAACGAAGCUAUUGAAAGAAAGUCGGUUUCUUCUAGAAUUCUCUCCCGCCUCCCACCUAAGGCCUCAUUUUGAUCGAUGGCACCACAGCAGACUGAGCCAGUGCUAAUGGGGACAUCCGUGGGCUGACCCUGGGAGGAUGCUGAAGGCCAGGCCCAGGCAAUGGGGACUCUAAAUGCCCCCCACAACGUGCCUGGCCUCAGUCCCCCUCCUGGCAGGUGAGACUCUCAACUUUGCCUUUUCCCCUGGCCUUUGAGGCCCAAGACCUUUUCUGUGAUUCCCCUUGUGUCCCCUUCUG
rnacentral:lncRNA from 1 species